rnacentral:rRNA from 1 species
UACGUAGGGUGCAAGCGUUGUCCGGAAUUAUUGGGCGUAAAGAGCUCGUAGGCGGUCUGUUACGUCGGCUGUGAAAACCUGGGGCUCAACCCCGGGCCUGCAGCCGAUACGAGCAGACUAGAAUUCGGUAGGGGAGACUGGAAUUCCUGGUGUAGCGGUGAAAUUCGUAGAUAUUCGGAAGAACACCAGUGGCGAAGGCGACUUACUGGACACAUAUUGACGCUGAGGUGCGAAAGCGUGGGGAGCAAACAGG